rnacentral:rRNA from 1 species
UAACGUUCCCGGGCCUUGUACACACCGCCCGUCAAGUCACGAAAGUCGGUAACACCCGAAGCCGGUGGCCCAACCCUUGUGGAGGGAGCCGUCGAAGGUGGGACUGGCGAUUGGGACU